AUUUGUGGUCAUACCACCCUGGACAUGCCUGAUCUCAUCUGAUUUCAUAAACUAAGCAGGGUUGAGUCCGGUUGGUACUUGGAUGGGAGGUUCCCAUGUAUUGUCAGCAUCUGUAAAUC
rnacentral:rRNA from 1 species